rnacentral:rRNA from 1 species
GGGUAACCUGCCCAAGAGAUCGGGAUAACACCUGGAAACAGAUGCUAAUACCGGAUAACAACAGAUGAUGCCUAUCAACUGUUUAAAAGAUGGUUCUGCUAUCACUCUUGGAUGGACCUGCGGUGCAUUAGCUAGUUGGUAGGGUAACGGCCUACCAAGGCGAUGAUGCAUAGCCGAGUUGAGAGACUGAUCGGCCACAUUGGGACUGAGACACGGCCCAAACUCCUACGGGAGGCAGCAGCC